rnacentral:tRNA from 1 species
GGGGCAUAGCUCAGCUGGGAGAGCAUCUGCCUUACAAGCAGAGGGUCACAGGUUCGAGCCCUGUUGUCCCC